GAUCAUGGCUCAGAGUGAACGCUGGCGGUAGGCCUAACACAUGCAAGUCGAACGGCAGCACAGAGGAGCUUGCUCCUUGGGUGGCGAGUGGCGGACGGGUGAGGAAUACAUCGGAAUCUACUCUGUCGUGGGGGAUAACGUAGGGAAACUUACGCUAAUACCGCAUACGACCUACGGGUGAAAGCAGGGGAUCUUCGGACCUUGCGCGAUUGAAUGAGCCGAUGUCGGAUUAGCUAGUUGG
rnacentral:rRNA from 1 species